rnacentral:rRNA from 1 species
UACGAAGGGGGCUAGCGUUGCUCGGAAUGACUGGGCGUAAAGGGCGCGUAGGCGGUUUUGACAGUCAGACGUGAAAUUCCUGGGCUCAACCUGGGGGCUGCGUUUGAUACGUCGGGACUGGAGUGCGGAAGAGGGUCGUGGAAAUCCCAGUGUAGAGGUGAAAUUCGUAGAUAUUGGGAAGAACACCGGUGGGGAAGGCGGCGACCUGGUCCGUGACUGGCGCUGGGGCGCCAAAGGGUUGGGAGCAAACAGG